rnacentral:rRNA from 1 species
UACGUAGGGUGCAAGCGUUAAUCGGAAUUACUGGGCGUAAAGCGUGCGCAGGCGGUUUUGUAAGUUUGUCGUGAAAUCCCCGGGCUCCAACCUGGGAAUGGCGAUGAAGACUGCAAGGCUAGAAUCUGGCAGAGGGGGGUAGAAUUCCACGUGUAGCAGUGAAAUGCGUAGAGAUGGUGGAGGAACACCAGUGGCGAAGGCGGCUUCCUGGACCAGAGCUGACACUGGAGGCGCGAAAGCGUGGGGAGCGAUCCGG